rnacentral:misc_RNA from 1 species
AAGUCGUAACAAGGUUUCCGUAGGUGAACCUGCGGAAGGAUCAUUAUCGAAGCUGAACACAGGUAGUUGCUGGCUCCCUUACCGGAGCAUGUGCACACCUGUAAGCCUUCACUUUUUCCCCUUUGUGCACCUUUGGCUAGUUUACAUGCUUGGAGUUAGAGGAUUCGUUUACCCGAGUUCUUGCUUGACCUUCAGUUAUGUGCUAUGCUCCUUUUAUAAAUGUAUGUCUAUGAAUGUGUUGUUUUUACUGGGUCUUAGUACCUGUAAAUCUAUAUACAACUUUCAGCAACGGAUCUCUUGGCUCUC